GAUGAACGCUGGCGGCGUGCCUAAUGCAUGCCAGUCGAGCGAACAGACGAGGAGCUUGCUCCUCUGACGUUAGCGGCGGACGGGUGAGUAACACGUGGAUAACCUACCUAUAAGACUGGGAUAACUUCGGGAAACCGGAGCUAAUACCGGAUAAUAUAUUGAACCGCAUGGUUCAAUAGUGAAAGACGGUUUUGCUGUCACUUAUAGAUGGAUCCGCGCCGCAUUAGCUAGUUGGUAAGGUAACGGCUUACCAAGGCGACGAUGCGUAGCCGACCUGAGAGGGUGAUCGGCCACACUGGAACUGAGACACGGUCCAGACUCCUACGGGAGGCAGCAGUAGGGAAUCUUCCGCAAUGGGCGAAAGCCUGACGGAGCAACGCCGCGUGAGUGAUGAAGGUCUUCGGAUCGUAAAACUCUGUUAUUAGGGAAGAACAAAUGUGUAAGUAACUAUGCACGUCUUGACGGUACCUAAUCAGAAAGCCACGGCUAACUACGUG
rnacentral:rRNA from 1 species